GGGGAUGACCGGUUUUGACAGCGUGUAGAAGUGGUACGUAAGCAUGCAGAGCGAUGAUGCCCACGCUCUUUAAUCAGAGACAUCAAAAAUUUAAAUGGCGAAAAUAACUACGCUCUUGCUGCCUAAUCGAAGUACAGUAGAUUGCGCUUAAUCUCAGCAACAGUUGCAGAGACAAGACA
rnacentral:tmRNA from 1 species